rnacentral:rRNA from 1 species
UACGUAGGGGGGCAAGCGUUUGUCCGGAUUUAUUGGGCGUAAAGAGCUCGUAGGCGGUUUGUCGCGUCUGCUGUGAAAACCCGAGGCUCAACCUCGGGCCUGCAGUGGGUACGGGCAGACUAGAGUGCGGUAGGGGAGAUUGGAGUUCCUGGUGUAGCGGUGGAAUGCGCAGAUAUCAGGAGGAACACCGGUGGCGAAGGCGGUUCUCUGGGCCGACACUGACACUGAGAGACGAAAGCUAGGGGAGCGAAUGGG